GCCACGCCCCCGUGGAAUGCCGCGGGCGGCCGGUUCCGCGCGACCCCCGCCCCUUCCCGGACUCCCCAGCCGAGGCGAGGGGCGGGGGCGCUGGGGACCCCGAGAGAGGGCGUGGGGGAUUGACGGAGGAGCGCUGAGAUCUCCAGCAUUCCCGGACUCGGACUGCUUGCUGAGGCUGCAGUCGAGAUUUGGGGCUGUCUCGUCUUUCCGGGCUUGAACAUAAAAUUCUCGCCCAUGGCGCAGUGGAAAGCUUUGAAGUCCGAGGUUGUGGGAUCAGAGUUGCCCCCUCGGGGGAUAAGUGACCUUGGAAAGGUCACUUCCCUUUACCCAGCCUGGCGGAAGGAGGAAUAUUGCGAUGAUUAAUAAUCGCGCAGCAGGGUUGCUGAUGUAAAGCGAUUUGCAGAUGUAAAGGGCAAUAAGCAUUCCUAGGAGGAAUCCAGCGAGAUUCCAGAAGUCUCCGAGGGAGCCGUGGCCAAGUCGACAGCAGAAGGCAUGAGUAACCUGAAGCCAUGGAAACCCCAUUGGAACGUCUUUUCAUGGUACAUAGAGGCUGAAUAUGAAGGCAGCUCAGACCGAGAAGACUGGUGCCCACCGCUCGCCUCCGGGCAUCCCUCCUGGCGGAGUUGGGAAGUCUGGGAUCCUUCGCCUCUCUCUCUGAUCGUGCGGAGCCAUAGCUGCAGAAGCAGCAGCUCUGCCCCCUGCUGGACACGUGAGGCAGCCCGCACUUUUCCUGUUCCAGAUGCAGCGCCCUUGUGGUGCUGGGGGGAAGAGAUUUUUUGGCUCACUCUGAUGGAAACAGCAAAACUGGGCGGAAUAAAAAUCCCAGGUUUUUUUUCUCUCUAGUUUAUUUCUGAGGAUCUGAUCUAUUUGGAUGCAGAAAACAUUUCUGUUGUUUCUCUUGCCUGGACGGCUUUUUUCCUUCCUGCUAGCCAAACCCGGCCCCUUUCAAGCCCUGUUUCAGAGUCCACCUCCUCCAAAACGCCCUUUCUGACUCUCCUCUCCUAUGUGAAUGUUUUGAAAUACAGCUAUGCACAGACCCGGCCCACGGAGUGCACACUCACAUACUGGCUUUACUGUUGUGUCCUUGAGGGUGGGGGCCAGGUUUGUGUGGCCUUUGUGUUCACAGACCCCGCCCGUAAGGUCCAGCACAGAGCUGGGGAUGAAACCUGCUGGCAAGCCCUUGUUGAUUAAUGGAUUAAUUAAUCAAUUAGUUUCUACGGAAGCAACUCCAAGCCUUUGCUUUGAUAAAUCUUCCUCUUAGCUCUUUGGGGGAAUCUAGAUAGUGAUGUAAUUCAAUAUAGCCUUGCACAAUAAGUAGUUUCACAAAGCAGUUUCACAAGAGAACACCACCACCACCCAGAGAGGGAUGAGGAAGUUUGGAGUGGUCUGUUAGAAAGAUGAGGAGGAGGGUGGCGAUGUGGGAAGGAUGAAGAAUUAGGAGAGGGGAUCUCUGCUCCAGGGUUCAGCGACGCAGCACAGCCUCUAAAGCCAGGUUUAUAUCCAGACUCCACCACUUGCUGUGUGGCCUUGUACAAGUUUACUCUUCUCUCUGUGCCUCGCUUUUCUCCUCUGUAAAAAUAAGUGCCCAUCCUAUCGCGAUAUGAUGAGGAUAAAUUGACUUGAUAUUUGCAAAGUGCUAGGACAGUGUCUGGCACAUAGUAAGUGCUAUAUAACAGUUUGUAAAUGAGUUUUCCAGCUUAGCUGUCUUGUAAAUGGAAUGGGGGAAGAUUAUAUGAUCUCUCAGUUCUCUCCCGUGCUGACCUUCCGGGGCAGUGCAUGAGCUUUGCGGUCAGACAGGUCUGGGUUGACUCCUGUCUCUUUUAGCACCUGCAUGACCUGGGGCAGAUGGCUCUCCUUGGAGCCUCAGUUUUCUCUUCUGUGAAGUGGGGAUAAUUGUGUCUACCUCAAAAGACUUGUGUGCAUUCCGUGCUUGUAAAAUGCCUGGCAUGUAAGAAGCUCAAUAAACAGAAGCUCUGAUUAUUAUUAUCUAUGAGAAGAGAGCUGUAGAUAAAGGAGAAUAGAGUCUCUAAAAUCUUUGAGGUUUCAAGAAAGAUUGAACGUAUUGAAUAGCAAUGAGCUCAGCUCAAUUCACGGAGUUUGGGGGUGGGACGGUGGGCCCUGAUCUGGGCCCUGACCAGAUAGCACAACAUCAGAAGAAACCAGGAAUGGUGUGACUCACACAUCAGCUCUAGGAACAUUUUCUGCCCGAG
rnacentral:lncRNA from 1 species